rnacentral:rRNA from 1 species
UACGUAGGGUGCGAGCGUUGUCCGGAAUUAUUGGGCGUAAAGAGCUCGUAGGCGGUGUGUCACGUCGGCCGUGAAAACCUGCAGCUUAACUGUGGGCGUGCGGUCGAUACGGGUAUCACUGGAGUUCGGCAGGGGAAGAUGACUUCGGAAGUUCCUGGUGUAGCGGUGAAAUGCGCAGAUAUCAGGAGGAACACCGGUGGCGAAGGCGGGUCUCUGGGCAGUAACUGACGCUGAGGAGCGAAAGCGUGGGGAGCGAACAGG